ensembl:snRNA U6 U6 spliceosomal RNA
GUGCUGCUUCAGUAGAACAUACACUAAAAUUGGACCAAUACACCAAAGACUGGCUUGGCCCCUGAGCAAGUAUGACACAAAAAUUCACAAGUAUGUCCAACUUGAC